rnacentral:rRNA from 1 species
CGAGGAAAGAACCACCAGGGAUUGCCCUAGUAACGGCGAGUGAAGCGGCAACAGCUCAAAUUUGAAAUCUGGCUCUCUUUGGGGGUCCGAGUUGUAAUUUGCAGAGGAUGCUUUGGCAUUGGCGGCGGUCUAAGUUCCUUGGAACAGGACAUCACAGAGGGUGAGAAUCCCGUACGUGGUCGCCUGCCUUUGCCGUGUAAAGCUCCUUCGACGAGUCGAGUUGUUUGGGAAUGCAGCUCUAAAUGGGAGGUAAAUUUCUUCUAAAGCUAAAUACUGGCCAGAGACCGAUAGCGCACAAGUAGAGUGAUCGAAAGAUGAAAAGUACUUUGGAAAGAGAGUCAAAAAGCACGUGAAAUUGUUGAAAGGGAAGCGCUUGCAGCCAGACUUGCCCGCAGUUGCUCACCCAGGCUUUGGCCCGGGGCACUCUUCUGCGGGCAGGCCAGCAUCAGUUUGGGCGGUUGGAUAAAGGCCUCUGUCACGUAUCUCCCUUCGGGGUGACCUUAUAGGGGAGGCGCAAUGCAACCAGCCCGGACUGAGGUCCGCGCAUCUGCUAGGAUGCUGGCGUAAUGGCUGUAAGCGGCCCGUCUUGAAACACGGACCAAGGAGUCUAACAUCUAUGCGAGUGUUUGGGUGUCAAGCCCGAGCGCGCAAUGAAAGUGAACGGAGGUGGGAACCCUUUUGGGUGCACCAUCGACCGAUCCUGAUGUCUUCGGAUGGAUUUGAGUAAGAGCAUAGCUGUUGGGACCCGAAAGAUGGUGAACUAUGCUUGAAUAGGGUGAAGCCAGAGGAAACUCUGGUGGAGGCUCGCAGCGGUUCUGACGUGCAAAUCGAUCGUCAAAUUUGGGCAUAGGGGCGAAAGACAAUCGAA